AGCGUAGACGGCGAUGCAAGUCAGAUGUGAAAACCCAUGGCUCAACCAUGGGAUUGCAUUUGAAACUGUGUUGCUAGAGUGCAGGAGAGGUAAGCGGAAUUCCUGGUGUAGCGGUGAAAUGCGUAGAUAUCAGGAGGAACACCGGUGGCGAAGGCGGCUUUCUGGACUGAUACUGACACUGAGGCACGAAAGCGUGGGGAGCAAACA
rnacentral:rRNA from 1 species